GCGGAUGGGAGUGUUUCUUGUCAUUUCAACAUUGCAAAAGUUCGGACUGUCGCAGCCCUGUCUUCGAAUCGAUUGUCUUUUCUCCAUAUUCUAAUCUCUGCUGAAUAUAAAACGACGUUGAAACAGUUCGCAGCCCUGUCUUCGAAUCGAUUGUGAUUUUUUCUCCAUAUUCUAAUCUGCUGAAAAUAAAACUACGAGAAACGGCACGAAAGGAUCGUUAAUCGUUGGAUUUCUUUACUAAGAAUGCGGCGAAUACGAGAUGGUCGACUCCAAAUGAGUGGCGUCGUGACUUAUUGAAUUGAUGCUGUCACAAAGCAAACAAUGGGAAGAGAAUAGAGGUGAAAAGCAGGCUUGACAAUUUUGCGAGAAGAAAGAGGAGGCUAAGGAAAAGAGCAAUGGAGCAACUUUGCAAAUCAUGUAACCACGUAGCUGAUAACUCCACUGCUGCGCAUCAGUCGGUCUUUUAUUGAUACAUGCAGCCAUCUCGGUCGUGAAUCGCGAUCAGACCACUAACCGAUUAGCGAAGAUGUAAAAUAUAAUGGAGACUUUUCACGGCUCUAUACUGACAGGUUGAAGCAUCGAUCAGUGAGUGACAAAGAUUUUAUCAGCCGAGAUCUGAACGUGGGUCUCCCAUAUUUUGUGCGGACAUCUUCAUUAUUCGACCACCGAGGUUUCGGCAAUAUUCUUCGUAAUAUCCAAAAUAUAUAUGCGGACGUAAUGAUAUCUGUUGCGAAACCGAAGAGGA